AAAAAAAGCGGAGGAUAUGAAUUGACAAUUCACAAAAGAAAUACAAGUGGUAAAUGAAUUUAGGACUAAAUGUUAAGAGGUCAGUGAUAGUUAUUAAAAUGCAGAGUAAUACAAUAGUGAAAUCAGUUUUUUAUUUUUGCCCCUGGAUUGCAAUAGGCAGCAUGGGGCACAGUGUUGGGAAGGGGGAAGAGCCUUCCUUUUAAACUUAACAGUAUUGGUGGCCUGUAAAUUGGUUAGGUCUUUUGAUUGGACUUGGUAAAAGUCAUAAGCUUAAAUUACAUAUACCCUUUGCUCUGAUAAUUCCACUCCUAAAAAUGUGUACUACAGAACCUGCUUCCACAAGUAUUCAGAUAUGUACAAGAAUGUUUAUGCAGUGUAAAAGGAAAAAGUAAAGACAUGAAGGCCAAGGUAGGCUCUGCAGAUGGCAUACAUAUCAAUAAGGGAACAAGCAACACAG